UCCUCGAUAGCUCAAUGGUAGAGCAAUCGGCUGUUAACCGAUCGGUUAUAGGUUCGAGUCCUAUUCGGGGAGCCA
rnacentral:tRNA from 1 species